rnacentral:rRNA from 1 species
UACGUAGGGGGCAAGCGUUGUCCGGAUUCAUUGGGCGUAAAGAGCGUGUAGGCGGCCAGGUAGGUCGGUUGUGAAAACUGGAGGCUCAACCUUCAGAGGUCGACCGAAACCAUCUGGCUAGAGUCCGGGAGAGGAGAGUGGAAUCCUGGUGUAGCGGUGAAAUGCGCAGAUAUCAGGAAGGAACACCCGGUGGCGAAAGGCGGGCUCUGGUCGGA